CAGCCGCCGCGGUAAUACGUAGGGGGCUAGCGUUGUCCGGAAUUACUGGGCGUAAAGGGCGUGUAGGCGGUAGAGCAAGUCAGGUGUGAAACCCCCGGGCUCAACUCGGGGCAUGCAUCUGAAACUGCGAUACUUGAGUGCAGGAGAGGGAAGCGGAAUUUCUGGUGUAGCGGUGGAAUGCGUAGAUAUCAGGAAGAACACCGGUGGCGAAGGCGGCUUUCUGGCCUGCAACUGACGCUGAGGCGCGAAAGCGUGGGGAGCGAACAGGAUUAGAUACCCUGGUAGUCCACGCUGUAAACGAUGGAUACUAGGUGUAGGUGGUAUCAAAGCCAUCUGUGCCGAAGUUAACACAUUAAGUAUCCCGCCUGGGGAGUACGGCCGCAAGGUUGAAACUUAAAGGAAUUGGCGGG
rnacentral:rRNA from 1 species